rnacentral:rRNA from 1 species
UACGUAGGGGGCAAGCGUUGUCCGGAAUUAUUGGGCGUAAAGAGCGUGUAGGCGGUCCGGUAAGUCAGCUGUGAAAGUCAAGGGCUCAACCCUUGAAAGCCGGUUGAUACUGUCGGGCUAGAGUCCGGAAGAGGCGAGUGGAAUUCCCGGUGUAGCGGUGAAAUGCGCAGAUAUCGGGAGGAACACCAAUGGCGAAGGCAGCUCGCUGGGACGGUACUGACGCUG